rnacentral:rRNA from 1 species
UACGUAGGGUGCAGGCGUUAAUCGGAAUUACUGGGCGUAAAGCGUGCGCAGGCGGCUUUGCAAGACAGCUGUGAAAUCCCCGGGCUUAACCUGGGAACUGCAUUUGUGACUGCAUGGCUGGAGUGCGGCAGAGGGGGAUGGAAUUCCGCGUGUAGCAGUGAAAUGCGUAGAUAUGCGGAGGAACACCGAUGGCGAAGGCAAUCCCCUGGGCCUGCACUGACGCUCAGGCACGAAAGCGUGGGGAGCAAACAGG